CACUGCUGACGAGUCUCAAACAGGACGAAACAGCUGUCCAGUUG
rfam:Echinostoma caproni strain Egypt genome assembly, scaffold: ECPE_scaffold0007225